rnacentral:rRNA from 1 species
AGGGAAGCGAGUGGUGAGAGGAGUUGCUCGGGUUCAGCGGCGGCGGGUGAGUAAUGCCUAGGAAUCUGCCUGAUAGUGGGGGACAACGUUUCGAAAGGAACGCUAAUACCGAAUACGUCCUACGGGAGAAAGCAGGGGACCUUCGGGCCUUGCGCUAUCAGAUGAGCCUAGGUCGGAUUAGCUAGUUGGUGAGGUAAUGGCUCACCAAGGCGACGAUCCGUAACUGGUCUGAGAGGAUGAUCAGUCACACUGGAACUGAGACACGGUCCAGACUCCUACGGGAGGCAGCAGUGGGGAAUAUUGGACAAUGGGCGAAAGCCUGAUCCAGCCAUGCCGCGUGUGUGAAGAAGGUCUUCGGAUUGUAAAGCACUUUAAGUUGGGAGGAAGGGUUGUAGAUUAAUACUCUGCAAUUUUGACGUUACCGACAGAAUAAGCACCGGCUAACUCUGUGCCAGCAGCCGCGGUAAUACAGAGGGUGCAAGCGUUAAUCGGAAUUACUGGGCGUAAAGCGCGCGUAGGUGGUUUGUUAAGUUGGAUGUGAAAUCCCCGGGCUCAACCUGGGAACUGCAUCCAAAACUGGCAAGCUAGAGUAUGGUAGAGGGUGGUGGAAUUUCCUGUGUAGCGGUGAAAUGCGUAGAUAUAGGAAGGAACACCAGUGGCGAAGGCGACCACCUGGACUGAUACUGACACUGAGGUGCGAAAGCGUGGGGGAGCAAACAGGAUUAGAUACCCUGGUAGUCCACGCCGUAAACGAUGUCAACUAGCCGUUGGGAGCCUUGAGCUCUUAGUGGCGCAUAAACGCAUUAAGUUGACCGCCUGGGGAGUACGGCCGCAAGUUUAAAACUCAAAUGAAUUGCCG